AGAGGUUAGCAUGUUUUGUUGUAGCCUCUGUUAUUGGUAAUGGUGAGAGGUUAGCAUGUUUUGUUGUAGCCUCUGUUAUUGGUAAUGGUGAGAGGUUAGCAUGUUUUGUUGUAGCCUCUGUUAUUGGUAAUGGUGAGAGGUUAGCAUGUUUUGUUGUAGUCUCUGUUAUUGGUAAUGGUGAGAGGUUAGCAUGUUUUGUUGUAGUCUCUGUUAUUGGUAAUGGUGAGAGGUUAGCAUGUUUUGUUGUAGUCUCUGUUAUUGGUAAUGGUGAGAGGUUAGUAUGUUUUGUUGUAGUCUCUGUUAUUGGUAAUGGUGAGAGGUUAGCAUGUUUUGUUGUAGCCUCUGUUAUUGGUAAUGGUGAGAGGUUAGCAUGUUUUGUUGUAGUCUCUGUUAUUGGUAAUGGUGAGAGGUUAGUAUGUUUUGUUGUAGCCUCUGUUAUUGGUAAUGGUGAGAGGUUAGUAUGUUUUGUUGUAGCCUCUGUUAUUGGUAAUGGUGAGAGGUUAGCAUGUUUUGUUGUAGCCCUUGUUAACACUAAUAAUACUAUGCAAUGAUAAUAUUUGCAUUUUUUUUUCACUAUAAGCAACAGUGGGAUUUCUUCCAUUGACGGAGAGGCGGACCAAAGCGCAGCGUGGUUGUUUUGAUUCAUGUUUUAAUAAAUCACUUCACAUGAACAAACUAACAAAAACAAGAACCGUGAAAACCCAAAACAGCCCUAUCUGGUGCAAAACACAGAGACAGGAACAAUCACCCACAAACAGUCCUAUCUGGUGCAAAACACAGAGACAGGAACAAUCACCCACAAACAGUCCU
ensembl:lncRNA